UACAGAGGUCCCAAGCGUUACUGAGAAUCACUGGGUUUAAAGGGUGCGUAGGUGGUCCGUUAAGUCAGUUGUGAAAUCCCCGGGCUCAACCCGGGAACUGCUUCUGAUACUGGCGGACUUGAGGCCGGUAGGGGCAUCUGGAACUAGCGGUGGAGCGGUGAAAUGCGUUGAUAUCGCUAGGAACUCCGGUGGCGAAGGCGAGGUGCUGGACCCUUUCUGACGCUGAGGCGCGAAAGCCAGGGGAGCGAACGGG
rnacentral:rRNA from 1 species